ACCACAGCACAUGCACAACCGGAUGCACUACCCAAUAUGAUGCAUGGAUGCUCAACCCCUAUUGAUGCACUUAACCCAUCCUGCAUCGGUAAACAAGUGCCACCUCAUCACAAAGUGACACUUCUGCAGAACUGCUCAGAACUGGAAACUAGUGUCUCCAUUGGAUUCCUUGGGUUCUCCUACCCCAAAUCCAUAUAUUACACUGCUAUAUAUGCAUGAAGAAAAACACCACAAACAGCAAAGGGAAAACUACACAGGAUCAAACUCCGAUAUUAACAAGAACAGGGGCUCUUCUUAUAUGCCAAAUUUAGCAUAUUCCUCUUCUAGAAUAUUCCAGAUUUGGAAAUACCUCAUAAAUACUACAGAAAACAAUAUACAUAUCAUCGUCAGGGGGUCCCACUGGCCAUGCACACCAGGGCCCCUAGUUGGUGUAUGACAGUGGGCCUAGUCCGCACAACACACACACAAAAUAAAAUUAAAAAAAUGUGCAGGUUGGGGAUCAAACCCUGCACCUCUCCUACAGACACGCACACACAAAGCCACUUGGCUAGCCCAUGCUAGUUGAACUAGCAGAGGCAUCAGGCAAGGAAGCUAUGAGUGGAACCAAGUUAACACACCAGAAAACACAAAAGGGCACACCGGGGACUCGAACCCAGGACCUCACGGUUGCAAUACAACAGGCUAACCAGUUCGCUACACAAUAACUAUGCUAACAGAAGCAGUGUUGCACUACGUGAAGCACCCUUGCAGCGACUCUGACGAAAAAGCUGGCAAAACAAAUAUGGUGCUACUGUGAUUCGAACCCCAGAUCUGUGGGAUGGAACCGGUUGACACAAGCCAGUUGACCUAUGCAUGCUCGAGUGAUAUAUUGCAGGGUUUGUGCCAGAUGGACCAUACCGUGGGGCGAGUCUGACGAAACUGAAUCACGAAACAGAGAUAUCUCUGUUGCCAGGACGGGAUCCUCGCUGCGACGGCUAGCUGGGGCUGCGGUCUGGAGGUGCGGGAACAGAGAGGUUCGAGGCCGAUGCUUGGGGAUGGGGCACCAGGUCGCAGAUCCGUCCGCAGGGCAACGGAUUGAGACGGAGUUGGGGCGGGAUCCAUGGCAGGGUGCUCUAUCAACGCCAUGAGUGCACCUGCCGCUUCUGCUCUCCCUGGUCUCUACAGAAAAGAGACAUAACUACAGAUAUAAGAUGGAGCAGAGGGAAAACGGAGGGAGGAGAAGAGAGGGCAAGGGAGAGGUGCUUCCAAGACCUGCUACUCCUGUCAUAGCCGACGAGGGCGGCUUCGGGCGGUCGAGCGCGUCAGGGGCAGAGGGGCACCGCGGUUGAGCUCUUGCUGGAGUACAAGGAGCUCGAGCAGCUGAUUUGGACCAUGGGCGCGAGGGGAGCUGCAGACGGGCUGGAUCUGGAAACCGAGGAAGGAGGAGAAAGGGAGCAGGGAGAGGGCCGGCCUGGUCGGGAAGCAUGGGGAGAGGCUCCAUGGAACACCAGUGUUGGGGCUGCAAGGCUGGUCGGGAGGGGGAGCUCGAGGACGNNNNNNNNNNNNNNNNNNNNNNNNNNNNNNNNNNNNNNNNNNAGGGGGAGCUUGAGGACGAGGUGCGGCUGUGGGAGGCUCGACGGGGAUUGGCACGGGGUGAUUUGGAUCGUAGGUGUGGGUGCCUAGUUGAUUCGGUGGGGAAAACAAGAAAGACAGUGGCGGCGGCGGCUGAUAGAUGGAUGGGACAGACGGAGGGGAAUCCCUAGAAUUUAGGGUUGGGUUUAAAUUAGGCACGGGAGGGCUCUCUAUUCAUAGGAAACAUGCUAGGUUAGCUAUUUGCUCCGUUUUCGGGCCGUUGGAUAGUGUUUCGACGGCUCCGAUCGAAGCGGGUUGGCUUGGUGGGUUGGUUGGGCCGUGUAGAGUGGGUGUUGGGCUAAGACGAGAAGGAAAUGGUGCGACCCGGCAACAAUAUUUUAAAAUCGAGAAACGUUCGACGACAACCGAAUACGGUGCCGCUACGGUCGACCUUUCGGGUACCAUACAGACUCGGAUUGCGACGAAAUUGACAGGCGGCCUACCUAUAUCUAAAUAAGACCGCACGUCAAAUCUCAACCCAAUCAGAGAAAGUUUUACGCACACUUUUAAAAACAAGGAUUUGACGAAGCCGUGGGCGCGUGCGUGUGUGAACAGGCUCAGAACGAACAAGGACGAGAACCGUCAACUAACAACGGAUGCAAGUUUGAAAACUGGCGGCAACGGGUUGCUGAUGCAAUGUUGAUGAUGCGCAUGAUGCGAUGAUGAUGCGACAAAAGAAAAAUAGACACAUGACGAAAACGGAAGAGAAGGGGAAUCUUCUGGAACGUCGGCAUCGGGCUGUCACAACUCUCCUACACUACAAGAGGAUCUCGCCCCGAGAUCCAAGAAUGAAAGGGAGAAAGGAUGAGAAGGAACAAGUGGUAAAAGCUUAGUCGCUUCUUUGACAAACGAGUGAAACCAACGAUCCUUGAAGGUUGCAAAGAGAUGAGGAAUGAUAUGAGAAACAAGCAAGAAUUCACGGAAAAUUUCGGCAGCACUUCGGUAGGAAAAUGGGACAAAAAAUUCGAUAAGAAGAGAGAAUUACACAAUAUUCGUAACAAACAACUAAAUAGAGCAAGGGACACCAUGAUCUUGAUAGAACAACAAGAUUGACCCAAAGGAGCAACAUCACAAUGCCUCCAGAACAAUAGAAUAGGAACUAGUUCAUACGGAAGAAGAGAAUGAAGAGAGAAUGCCAACUAUCAUCACAAUAGAAUUGAAGAUCCUCCGGAUAGAGAAUUGACAGAGUAGUUGGAAACCAACAACGAAAAGAAAAAGAUAGUAGUGGGCUUAUGAAAAUCAUCUCAACAAAUAUGAGGUGACAAACAACCACUAAAAGAAACAAGGAUAGAUUGGGAGCAACAAGAUAUGAACAAUCUUACACCAAGAGGAUGCAUUGAGAACUUAGAUUAAAGACAAGCACCAUGAUAGCACAAUCCAUAGGAAAAGCUUUAGGUGAAAUCCAAACCAAGAUAGCUCAAUGAAGAAACCAUGAGUUAAGAAUAAUCUCAUGAUCAAAGGAUUGGUGGGUUUAAUUAUCUCAUUCUUGAAAGGAUAUCUCUUCGAGGCUCCUACACUAACAAGAAUGCUAUAAUACCACCUCAAAGGAUAAAGGAAGAACAAUUGCACAUAUAAAUGCAAGAGAAAGGAUACUUGAGGUUCCCCAACAAGAAUCUUGAAGAACAAUUGAGAAUGGAUUGAAACCUUGAUGAACCACCAUGAAGGACCUCCGUAUACAAAUGAAUGAUGCAAAGAUAACAAGGUAGAAAAGAAUAAGAUUAUGACCUUGCCAGGAUUUAGAUGUAGCCUCACAAAGAUACUUAAUAGAAGUUGAAACUCCGGAAAAUAAAGAUAAGCACACAAGAAAAGAAUUGAAACCAUGAGCCACUCCGGAAGAAGAAUUGAAAUCUCUUGGAAGAAGGAAGGACAAUAAUAAGAAUUAUGUUAUGCUCAUUCUUCAUCAAAUUAAAUUGAUGACAAGCAACGGAUCUAGCAUACAACUUAUUCUUCUAGAAAUGAAUCUUGGAGAGACAGAGAGGAAAAACACCACUUGAAGCAUAAUUGAAGGAAGCACCGGUAAGAAUUCACAAUUGAAUGGGAACACCAUGAAUUAAUGGAGAUACAUGCGAAUGAAGAGAUCAUGAGCCACCUGAGAGAAACUAGAACAAGGCACCGGAUAAUCGAGAGACGAACGAAGAGGCAACAAUUGAGAAGAUCUGCAGAUGAAAGCUGAAAGCUGAGAACGAAGAAUCUUCUGAAAUGAUGGCCUUCGGAGGAACGAGAAAUAAAAACAACUCAGAAAUGCACAGGAUAGCAAGAAAGGGAUUACUCAUGAUUGGAACAAUUAAGAAGAUGGCACCAAGCUGAAAUGAUGAAUCUCCAAGAGAAUGAACCAAGAUUGAGAGAAACACUCCUUCGGUCUUGAAAGAAGAGAAUGAUGAGAAGAACACCACCAAGAAUUAAUGGGACACUCCGAAAUAAGAAGAAUGCAAGGUUGAGCCAAAUCUGAGAAUUAAUUAAAUGGAUCUUGAAGAAAGAAUAUGACUGAUGAAAUUCAUACUUACGUCAUAGUUGAAAAGAUAUAGAGAUCUUCGGGAAAAAUUACAGAGCUAUAUAAGAUCCUGGGAAAAACCUGUGGGUUAUGGGCCCACUCAAAGAAACCACCGUUGAAAAGAUUGCUCAAAAUGAUAGAUAUUGCACCGAUAUAAAGAAAACUUGAUGAGGUUGAAAACCUCGAAAUAACUGAAGGGUUGAAAACCAGAACUUCUGAAAUAUCUUUAACAUUCCGGAUAGAAAGAGAGAGGAAUUAAAAAGCAAGAUAGGCUGAUAAGAAUCUCCAACAUAGGAAAGAAUUUACAAGGAUAAAAAGGAUAUGAUGAACACGGACAACUCAAUUAAAUUCAGCGGAAAAGACAACAAGAUUGAAUAAAGAUGAACACAAAGCUCCUGAGAAUCUUCACAAUGAACCACCGGAUAAGAGAGAAAAGAACCGACAGCGGAAGCACAAUGAAAAGAAAACUCUUGGAAGAAAAUUGAAUCACUGAUAAAAAGGGUGGGAGGGUGGAAAAAACAAAGACAACAUGGGACAGAUGAGAUGAACUCCGGAAUAAAUGAGAGAAUGAUCUUGCAAAAAUUGGAGAGAAUUGAAUCCACUUGCAGAGAAGCACACCGGUUAAAUGGAAUUGAUACGACGACUCCGGUUGACAAGAAUUGAUAAGACAAAUGAAAAUAUGAGAACACCUCUUAGGAAGGAUCUGAAAUCACCACUUGACGUCGAAGCAACUUGAAUUACCAUAUUAAAACAAAACAAAGGGUGAGGCUUAUGAAACAAGCCAGGACAAACUCAUGAGAAAGAUUUCGUCCGAUAUUUUCGUGGACAGGAAUCCACUAGAUGUCGAACCCCAACCUAACAUCAUGCAUUUGUUGGAAGAUUGUCCUAUAAGUAACUACUUGAAUUCCCACCUAAGAAUUCCCGAAAUAUCUAGUCAUGCAAUCUGGUACACGGAUACAAGGAGUAAUAUCACACAACUCCUAUACUAACCCAUCACUUGUAUCACAUCCGUCAACACACGACCAGAAUCUCGGACCUUCAUCUACAACAGACCCUCGUGAUCACAACGAUACAAAGUAUGGCAGUACUCCUGAACAAUCUGCACCAGUACUGGGGACAUCAGGGUUAUCUCGCCACUACUAGUAUUGAAGCAAUUACGAACAUCCUUCGUUCUGAGAUACUAAGAAAUCUGAAUGAUAACGAUGUGCUCGAGAAUCCCCUGGAGCUCAACUCCCCUGAAACUCAAAGCAGAUAGGAGGCACCAAGACAGAACUCUGUCACAUCGGCAUCAUAUAGAUUCCAAGAAUAUCCGCGUGAUCCUAAAUUUUUUUUUGAGUGAGAAGAGGAGUAGAGUUAAAUUAUUACGUCAAGAUUCCUCACCAGAGCAUGGAAGAGGAGAAAAAAGAAUCCUACUCUCCGAUAUAUAACUAGACUCAAAAUAGUUUUUCACUAGACUUGACUCGGCCAAGUUCGAUCAAUCAAGGGGGCUCCUAGGUCGGUACUGCUCUGAUACCAACUUGUCACGCCCAAGAUGCGACCCUAUCCUCGAUUUGGCACGAAGGCCCCGUCAGGGAUAGAAGCGCAUCUCGUCGUGUCGCAAGAAUGGAUAUCGUUACAAGUACAUGUACUGAAAAGAAGAGAUAUAUAUACAGAAUUGGCUUACACUCGCCUCAAGCUACAUCAGAGUCACAUCAGUACAUUACAUAAUCAUCAAGAGUAAGAGAAGGGUCCGACUAUGGACGAAAACAAACGAGAAAAGUAGAACGACGUCCAUCCUUGCUAUCCCAGGCUGCCGGCCUAGAACCCAUCCUAGAUCGAUGAAGAAGAAGAAGAAUCAACUCCAAAUGAACAAUCAACGCGCUCGCAUCAAGUAACAUUUACCUGUACCUGCAACUAGUGUUGUAGUAAUCUGUGAGCCAUAGGGGACUCAGCAAUCUCAUAUCGAAAGGGCCCAAGACUAGCAAAGCUUAAUGGGUGAGGUAUGGCUAAGUGGUGAGGUUGCAGCAGCGGCUAAUCAUAUAUUUGGUGGCUAAACCUACGAGUACAAGAAAUAAGAGGGGGAAGAUCUACGCAUAACGGACAUGAGCUACUGGUGAUCAAAUGAAUGAUCCUGAACACCUACCUACGUCAGAUAUAACCCCACCGUGUCCUCGAUCGGAGAAAGAACUCACGAAAGAGACAGGCACGGUUACGCACACAGUUGGCAAGUUUCUUUUAAGUUAACUUCAAGUUAUCUAGAACCAGUGUUAAACAAAGUUUCCACGUUGCCACAUAACCGCGGGCACGGCUUUCGAAAGAUUUAACCCUGCACGGGUGCUCCAACUAGUCCAUCACAAAUUGCCACGAGCCGCAUAGAAAUCCUCAAUCACGAAGCUCGCGAUCUCGUCGUGGAAAACCUCAACUCUGAGAUUACCCAAAGCAUCACCGGAAUCCUGAUGCACAAGAUAUCUCGUCAAAGGUAAAACUAAUCCAGCAAGGCCACCCGGCAUGUCGACGAUCCCGAUAGGAGCCGCGUAUCUCGUUCUCAGGACACGACAGAUGGAAAAGCCUACAGGUACCAAACCUCGAGUGGCCCCGUGGUGGCCCCGCAGUCUGUCCUUUUGGGACCAACACCAUCAGCAUUGGCCCCCUUGUUUAUGUAAAAUUACUCCUCGGGUUCAUGACGCCCUAUGCAUUUCAGUGUUAACAAAAUUAUUAUGUUGGGCAAAUGUAGAACCAAUGUCGGGCCUUGCCGGACCAGCUUUAAUCUAAAACGAAUUAUCAAGGGGGGCCCCAUAACAACCCCGAUCGUGUUAGGAGCGCUAGUUUAUGGAAUAUAACACCGGUAGCCGAAACUAAGGGGGCAAAGGUGGAAUAAAACACCAGGCUAGAAAGGCCGAGCCUUCCACCUUUUACCAAGUAUAUAGGUGCAUUAAAUUAAAUAGCAUUUAAAUAUGGUGAUAAGACAAGGUACCCAUGUUAUCACAUGGAAUCAACUACACCUGCAACUAGCAACGCUAACAACAUGGUUAAGCAAGCGGUAACAUAGCCAAUGAGUGGUUUGCUAGGUCGAACAGGUUGAAGGUUAUCAUGGCAUGAUUGAGAGGCUGAUAUUUAACAUGUGGUAGGCAACGAGACAUAAUAGAUAGAAGCGGUAAACUAGCAUGGCAAUGAUAGUAAUGGUAUCUGGGGAAAUGAUCAUCUUGCCUGAGAUCCCGCUUGGAAGAAGAAUGACUCCGUGAAGUCAGCGAACCAACGUAGUCGAACGGAUCCUCACUUUUCCUACACGCUUGCGGAACUCUAACGAGACGAAGCAAAUGGAAACAAGAAUCAACACACGAUAUUCACCACAGCAGACACGCUUGCAGAACUCUAACGAGACAUAGCAAAUGGAAACAAGAAUCAACACACGAUAUUCACCACAGCACAUGCACAACCGGAUGCACUACCCAAUAUGAUGCAUGGAUGCUCAACCCCUAUUGAUGCACUUAACCCAUCCUGCAUCGGUAAACAAGUGCCACCUCAUCACAAAGUGACACUUCUGCAGAACUGCUCAGAACUGGAAACUAGUGUCUCCAUCGGAUUCCUUGGGUUCUCCUACCCCAAAUCCAUAUAUUACACUGCUAUAUAUGCAUGAAGAAAAACACCACAAACAGCAA
rnacentral:lncRNA from 1 species